rnacentral:rRNA from 1 species
AUGAACUUUAUGUAUGAACUUGUAUUAAUUUGGUCUUUUCGGUGUUGUGUAAUGAAGAUGAGCCGACAAUGGAUGUACGAUGACCGAUGCUCUCCCGAGUUCAUUAAUGGCAUGCAAACUUUUCUGCUUGCGGCUGAGGCAAACAAGCGGGCGGAUGGUUUUAUGCCUUGUCCAUGUUUAGUCUGUAAGGAUGAUCACAAUUACUCUACGUCAAGAACCAUUCACGUCCACCUGUAUAAGUCCGGUUUCAUGCCCCACUAUAAUGUUUGGACCAAGCACGGAGAAAGAGGGGCUAUGAUGAAAGACAAUGAAGAAGAAGAGGACGACGACAACUAUCUUGGCCAUGGGUUCCCUGAAUACGAUGAUACAACAAUGGGGGAAGAAGUUGAGCCGGCAAUGCGGGAAGAAGCUGAAGAAGAGGCAUCAGAUGAGCCCGCUGAUGAUCUAGGUCGGGCCAUUGCCGAUGCAAAGAGAAACUGCGCAAGUGAUUUGGAGAAGAAGAAGUUGCAACGCAUGUUAGAGGAUCACAAGAAAUUGUUGUACCCGAAUUGCGAAGCUGACAAGAAAAAGUUGGGCACCACACUGGAAUUGCUGAAAUGGAAGGCAGAGAAUGGUGUAUCUGACAAGGGAUUUGGAAGGUUGCUGGUAAUGAUAAAGAAUAUGCUUCCAAAGGACAACGAAUUGCCCUAG